ACACUCCUGCGGGAGGCAGCAGUGGGGAAUAUUGGACAAUGGGCGCAAGCCUGAUCCAGCCAUGCCGCGUGAGUGAUGAAGGCCCUAGGGUUGUAAAGCUCUUUCACCGGUGAAGAUAAUGACGGUAACCGGAGAAGAAGCCCCGGCUAACUUCGUGUCAGCAGCCGCGGUAAUACGAAGGGGGCUAGCGUUGUUCGGAUUUACUGGGCGUAAAGCGCACGUAGGCGGACUAUUAAGUCAGGGGUGAAAUCCCGGGGCUCAACCCCGGAACUGCCUUUGAUACUGGUAGUCUUGAGUUCGAGAGAGGUGAGUGGAAUUCCGAGUGUAGAGGUGAAAUUCGUAGAUAUUCGGAGGAACGCCAGUGGCGAAGGCGGCUCACUGGCUCGAUACUGACGCUGAGGUGCGAAAGCGUGGGGAGCAAACAGGAUUAGAAACCCUAGUAGUCCCAUGA
rnacentral:rRNA from 1 species